GGUCCUAUGGAGGAGGCAGCAGAGACUCUGCUCCCCUCGUUUAGAUUAAUUCUGAUAUAAUAACUGUUGGUUUAUUUAUCGGUGGAGCAGCACAACAUUUUCCACAGACAGUUUUCCUGCCCGUUGGCUUGUUUUAACCAGUUUUCUGCCUUCGGCUGAUUCUACCAGCAGACACUGAAAGGACUCUAAUAGUUUGAGUGAAAGCAGCAAUUCCUCCUUAAGGUCAGAGAUUGCAGCAUAUGAGGGCCUCUUCAAAAGAAGACGUAGUUGAUGAAGGCGUUCUGGAGCAGGACCAGAAAGACCACGACCAAGCAGCCUUGAGAUCUUAGGCAGCGUCUCCCUCAGACCAAAGAACUACAGACUCUUCACAACCUGCUCAAACUCUUGGUACAGGACCUCACCACACGGGUCAAGAAGGUUUCUGUCUCAUUUCUACUCUGAAGCUCACCUUCUCAAACUGCUGACAAAUGCUUCUGCUGCUCUAAAGUCUGCUCUCCAGAACUUCCUAAAAACUCUCAGUCUCUUCUGCUGCAGGUUGCUUUGUAGAACCGUUACAGAAAACCUCACUAAAGCACAUAGAGGGGCCUCAAGAUAGUCGUCCAAAUGAAACUGUACAAAAACCAAACGAGCACAACCCAAAUGCUAAAGUCUCCUGCAGCCUACCAGAGAACCUCUGAGAACAGAGAAUCAGGACAGGAACUCUUACCUUCUGGACAACCAACGUUGGUUCUCAAACAAGAACACAGAAUGUGUCUGACCAAAAACCUCUGAAGACUCACUACAGCCAAGAUAAAGACACAACUCAGCUGUACCAAAUCCACUAAUCACUGCACACAUUAGCACCAUGUGCUAACUGUGGCUAAAGAACCUCAUUUACCAAGACAACUAUCCAGUACAAAGCCCUAAAACACACCAAGAAACACAUUAAAGAUGAUUUUACUGCUGGAAGCUGCAAGCCAACGCCUAAAGAACAGACUAAAGCAAGAGUCAAGGUUCACUGGUGAAGAGAAGCAGAGGAAAUGUUUGUCUGCAGCUAAAUAAAGCAGGAAGACAC